GACGAACGCUGGCGGCGUGCCUAAUACAUGCAAGUUGAGCGCUGAAGGUUGGUACUUGUACCAACUGGAUGAGCAGCGAACGGGUGAGUAACGCGUGGGGAAUCUGCCUUUGAGCGGGGGACAACAUUUGGAAACGAAUGCUAAUACCGCAUAAAAACCUUAAACAAAAGGUUUAAAGUUGAAAGAAGCAAAUUCAUUAACCAAAGAUGGAUCCCGCGUUGUAUUAGCUAGUUGGUGAGGUAAAGGCUCACCAAGGCGAUGAUACAUACCCGACCUGAGAGGGUGAUCGGCCACAUUGGGACUGAGACACGGCCCAAACUCCUACGGGAGGCAGCAGUAGGGAAUCUUCGGCAAUGGACGAAAGUCUGACCGAGCAACGCCGCGUGAGUGAAGAAGGGUUUCGGAUCGUAAAACUCUGUUGGUAGAGAAGAACGUUGGUGAGAGUGGAAAGCUCAUCAAGUGACGGUAACUACCCAGAAAGGGACGGCUAACUACGUG
rnacentral:rRNA from 1 species